GGGAGGAACACAUGGUGGCGGCAGUGACCAAUAUGGGCAGGGUGGACAGAGUGGAUCCUAUGGUGGCAGCCAAUAUGGACAGGGUGGACAGAGUGGAUCAUAUGGGAGCAG